rnacentral:misc_RNA from 1 species
UGGGUAACCAUAAUCGUGCUGAUCUGCGUCCAUCAUUCAUGUGUGGGUGUCAAAUCAAAGUGGCAACUCUCGAUAACGUCUCGGUCGAUCUGAUGGUGGUUCUGGGAACCACCUCGAUGCCUGUCCAUCAGGUGAUGCGGCUCAGCCGCGGCGCGAUCAUCGAACUCGAUGCGACCGAGCAGGACGAGGUCAAGGUGCUCGCCAACAACCUGCCCAUCGCCAGCGGUGUGGUGGUCGUCAACCGCAACCGCAUCGCGGUUGA